rnacentral:rRNA from 1 species
CACGUAGGGCGCGAGCGUUGUCCGGAAUUAUUGGGCGUAAAGAGCUCGUAGGCGGCCUGUUGCGUCCGCUGUGAAAGCCCGGGGCUUAACCCCGGGUCUGCAUUCGAUACGGGCAGGCUAGAGUGUGGUAGGGGAGAUCGGAAUUCCUGGUGUAGCGGUGAAAUGCGCAGAUAUCAGGAGGAACACCGGUGGCGAAGGCGGAUCUCUGGGCCAUUACUGACGCUGAGGAGCGAAAGCGUGGGGAGCGAACAGG